GAUGAACGCUGGCUACAGGCUUAACACAUGCCAGUCGAGGGGAAACGACGGGGAAGCUUGCUUCCCCGGGCGUCGACCGGCGCACGGGUGAGUAACGCGUAUCCAACCUGCCUCUGACUGAGGGAUAACCCGUCGAAAGUCGGCCUAAUACCUCAUGGCAUCGUCUGCGGGCAUCCAACGACGAUUAAAGAUUUCAUCGGUCAGGGAUGGGGAUGCGUCUGAUUAGCUAGUUGGCGGGGUAACGGCCCACCAAGGCGACGAUCAGUAGGGGUUCUGAGAGGAAGGUCCCCCACAUUGGAACUGAGACACGGGCCAAACUCCUACGGGAGGCAGCAGUGAGGAAUAUUGGUCAAUGGGCGAGAGCCUGAACCAGCCAAGUAGCGUGCAGGAUGACGGCCCUAUGGGUUGUAAACUGCUUUUAUGCGGGGAUAAAGUGAGGGACGUGUCCUUCAUUGCAGGUACCGCAUGAAUAAGGACCGGCUAAUUCCGUG
rnacentral:rRNA from 1 species